rnacentral:rRNA from 1 species
GAUGAACGCUGGCGGCGUGCCUAAUACAUGCAAGUCGAGCGAACGGACGAGAAGCUUGCUUCUCUGAUGUUAGCGGCGGACGGGUGAGUAACACGUGGAUAACCUACCUAUAAGACUGGGAUAACUUCGGGAAACCGGAGCUAAUACCGGAUAAUAUUUUGAACCGCAUGGUUCAAAAGUGAAAGACGGUCUUGCUGUCACUUAUCGAUGGAUCCGCGCUGCAUUAGCUAGUUGGUAAGGUAACGGCUUUCCAAGGCAACGAUGCAUAGCCGACCUGAGGGGGUGAUCGGCCACCCGGGAACGGAGACACGGUCCAGACGCCUGCGGGAGGGAGCAGUAGGGAAUCGUACGCAAUGGGCGAAAGCAUGACGGAGCAACGCCGCGUGAGUGAUGAAGGCCUUCGGAUCGUAAAGCUCUGUUAUUAGGGAAGAACAUAUGUGGAAGUAACUGUGCACAUCUUGACGGUACCUAAUCAGAAAGCAACGGCUAACUACGUG